UAUUAUAUUAGUUGCCAAAUCCACAAUCUAUUAAACUACGCAGACCCUUUAGACUCUUAUUCUGUUUCUGAAAAACACUAUCAAUAUAUGGCUCUAUUGGGAAACCCAAAACAUAUGGCUCUUUCAUUGACGGAAACAGCGGCACGCUUAUUUGUUACUAGAUUUCUUAGACAAUAUAUAUCUACUGGAUGUUUAAUCUUAUUAGAAGAGGGAGGCACAAUGUUCACCUUUGAAGGAAGCAAAAAUGACUGUUCUCUAAAAUCCGUUCUUAAAGUUCACAGUCCUCAGUUUUAUUGGAAAGUAAUGACACAGGCUGAUCUAGGCAUUGCAGAUGCAUAUAUCAAUGGCGAUUUUUCUUUCGAUGAUAAAGACCGAGGUCUUCUAAAUCUUCUUAUGCUUCUCAUUGCCAACGGAGAUUCUGAUGCCUCAAAAUCAAACAAGAAAAGGGGAUGGUGGCAGCCUUUGUUUUUCAUAGCCACUAUAGCCUCAGCCAGAUACUUCUUUCAGAAUGCUUUUAGGCAAAAUAGUCUUGCACAGGCUCGAAGGAACAUAUCUAGUCAUUAUGAUCUGAGUAACGAACUAUUUUCGCUAUUCUUGGGCGAAACAAUGGUGUAUUCCACUGCAAUAUUUAAGACAGAAGAUGAGGAACUGAAUACUGCACAGCUUAGGAAAAUCUGUACUCUCAUUGAUAAGGCUAGAAUCGAUGAGAACCAUGAGGUUCUGGAUAUUGGAUGUGGUUGGGGUACCUUAGCUAUUGAAGCAGUCAAACAAACGGGUUGCAGAUACACUGGCAUCACUCUAUCUGAGGAACAACUUAAAUUUGCUGCAAAGAAAGUGAAAGAUGCUGGACUACAGCACCGGAUCAAGUUCCUUCUGUGUGACUACCGCCAAUUGCCUUCUGACCACAAAUAUGACAGAAUCAUAUCUUGCGAGAUGCUGGAACAUGUUUGCCAUGAAUUACUGGAUGAGUUUUUUUCAUGCUGCGAGUCUUUACUAGCAGAAAAUGGGGUUUUUGUUCUGCAGUAUAUAUCUAUACCGGAUGAACGCUAUGAUGAGUUCAGGCGAAGUUCAGGCUUCUUACAUGAAUAUAUAUUUCCUGGUGGAUGUCUACAUUCAUUAAGUAGGAUAACAUCAGCCAUGGCCUCUUCUUCAAGACUCUGUGUGGAGCACUUGGAAAACAUUGGAAUUCAUUAUUACCAAACACUAAGAUGUUGGAGAAAAAAUCUCUUAGAGAGACAGAGCCUUCAAAUCCCAGAUACAACCGCCGCCCACCUUGAAGAUCUCAACUCCAGGAGUCCAGAACCGGCCGGAAAACCACCGAACCGGCCACCAGAAGUAGCAAAAUUCCCUCUGCCCGGUUCAAAGCUUUCCUCACCACCUCCUACAGCCAUACUAGACCACCUGCAGCGUCUCCACCCCAGAAAUCCGGAACCGGAAAUUUCAUCACCAGAACCGGCCAAAAUUCCACCGAACCGGCCACCGGAAUCCUCCUAACCUGAACCGGCAGAAGAAGGAAAAAAAAAAAAAAAAAAAAAAGGGACCUGUGCAGCCCACCUGCUGUAGGCCCAAGCCCAUAGGUUGAGCCCACGUGCAGCAGGCCCCAACCCAAGCUGCCAAGCCACCAAGCCAAGCCGCCAAGCCGCAAGCCUCAAGCCGCCAAGAAACCUGCCACGUCAGCAAGCCACGCAGGCAUCCAGUCAGCAGCCACGUCAGCCACCUGUGCCACGUCAGCAGGCCGGUCAACCACAGGACAACGCCGGUCAACCCUCUGGUCAACGAUCAGUCAACGUCGGUCAACCAUUUUCUGGCGACUUUUCCGGCCGACUUCCGGCCACUUUCCGGCGACUUUUUCCGGCCAAAUUCCGGCGACUUUUUCCGGCCAAUUUUCCGACGACUUAUUUCGAGGAUGAGUAACCUGAACAAAUUGGACUUUACUCCAUUGGGAACAACUGGCUCUGAAUAUCACAGGUGGGUUCGUGAUGUCCGCCAGCAUCUCAAGGCCGAUGGAAUCCUGGAUACGAUUCUCGAGCCUAGCCAGGACGUGCUAACUGUUGAGCAAGCUCAAGCUUUGGAAGCAAAUAGAGCAGCCUUAGAGGCAAAUAAGGCGAAAGCCAUCAUCCUAAUGACUCAUCAUAUGGAUGAUUCGCUCCAGUACGAGUGUAUGAAUGAAGAAGACCCCAGAAGGCUAUGGGUCUCACUCAAAGAAAGAUUUGGCAACGUCUGUGACUCCUUCCUUGCUUCCUGACCUAGAAGUGAGAUGGCAUAGCCUCCGCUCCUAUGAUUUCAAGUCAGUUCUUGACUACAACUCGGAAGCACUUCGCAUUAAAUCCUUAAUGGAAUUCUGUGGUAAAGAGAUCACAAAUGCGAUGUUGAUUGAGAAGACUCUCUCUACCUUCCCCGUUUCUGCAUUGAUGGUUGCUAAGAACUAUCGAAUUGAUGUUACUGCAUGACGGAUCACAACGUUUCAUGAGCUCAUUGGAGCUAUGAAUGUCACUGAAAAGUAUGACAACAUCCUUGUGAAGAACUAUAAUUCGAGAUCCGUGGGAACAGAGCAUAUUCCGGAAUCCAAUUAUAGUUGCGCCCCUAAGAGGAGGCGCCAAGAGCGAAACCCUAACCUUAGGGAUACUUCUGGACGUUCUGGUCUAUAUAAUCGCUCUACUUGGGAAGGUAACCGCCAAUAUAGGCGAACACGGAACCGAAGAGGUGAACGUGGAAAGAGAGAGGGAGGCAACGCCUCUGGCCAUGUUGGUGGCGCCACCAACACUAAGAGCCAUCUAAAUGACGCUUUCAAAGCGCCUCAAUCAAUGGAGUUUGAGCAAAGAGAUGUAUGUUCUCAAUGUGGAGUGUCUGAUUAUUGGGCACACAUUUGUAGAGCUCGUGAAGAAACUGUCACCGCCUACAAAACAUAUUGUGAAGCAAGAGAAGCUCACUAUGUAGAACAAGAAGAUCAAGAAGAUGAUCUAGAGUGAAGGGUUGAAGACUACGAAUCUGGCUGGGAUCAAUAGAUCGCCAAUUCUGUUUAAGUCUUUAUUUUCCAAGAGAUGUAGGCAAUUGCCAUAUUAUUAUUUUUUUAGUAGAUGCCUAUGGUUUAGUCUUUCUUC